AUAGGCACUGUUGCAGCAGUGCCGAGUUUUCACGGCCAUCUCGUGAGGGCGCGCUUCAUAAAAAGGCCACGCUUAGCGCUAGCGCCUCGGUGUAUACAAGUUAACAGAAUUCAGAACAGGGUUUCAAAUCAGCAAUCAUCAUACAUCCUAGGGGGUUCAGAAGUAUUCAGUUGGCUCACAUAUAUUCAUGGGAGGGACAGCAACUACAUACCGGGAGGGUUUUUUCUUGAAUUUCUUCUUAAAUGCAAUAAACCAGAUUGCCAACUAAA